rnacentral:tRNA from 1 species
GUCCACCAGCGCGCGGUACGCGCGGGCGCUGCUCGCGGCGGCGCGGGUCAUGGCGUCCGUCCAGGCGGGAUUCAGUUCCCCGGCCGGGCGC